AUGAUCUGAAAUUGCCAGGAGUGAUUGUGAAGCCUGAGUUGUCAAGGUGAAGCCUUUCUGAUCAUUCUGCAGUAGUCACUGGCGUUGAACAGUCACUUGGAUCGCAGACACACAUGCAGCAAUUAAGCGAAUGUGCACAAUUCAUAAAAUACUAACCAGGGUGGAGGAGAAGGAAUAGCUGACGACAACUGACCUAUGAUUUACUCCCAGAAGAUGAACAGUUUUGGGGUUUGACUAGAGAGCUGAACUACCCACCCAGUGAAAGGCAGACUAUAUACCAGUGGAGAAACUGAGGCACGGCUGCAACCCGAGAGUGACAGUAGCUGACCCGCAGAAAGGAUAAAGGAUAUACAACUACUGCUCGUUAUUGAAGAUCUGAUUUAGAUCAAGAAGCUUUUGGGUUUUGGAGCAGAAGGAUCAGGGACCUAGUCCUGGGUCCUCAGCGAAGGUCUGCCUCCCAAGCCAGCAUAACCCGCACCAGAACAUGGAUCGUUGCUCAAACUGUACAGCAUGACAGACCUUCUGGAAAGUAUAUCAUAGCCACGUACUAAAAUGGAUAUUGCUCCUUCAUAUCUUUCUCAUCAAAGAUGGUAGGAUAUCAGCCCUAGUAUUGGACAGUGGAGUAUUCAUUCUUGUUUCCCUUCCUUUGAAUAUUCUCGGGUGCACAGAGUGUCAUGCAGACUCUUUCUAGAUAUUGUCCACCUUCUGUUAACAAUGUGCAGAGUUGCCAGAUCUCAUGACUUGUGAUAGGGGACUUACGGGCUUAACUCCCAUUAACUUACAAUGGGAGUUAGGCACUUAACCUGUUUAGAUGCUUUCGUAAAUCCAACUAUCUGCAUUAGCACCUUUAGGUUCUUCAAUAUUUUUGUAAAUCUGGCCCUCGUUUUACUUGACGAUUCAGGUCGUGGAGUCAUGUGAUGUGAGAAUCUGAGCUUUCAUUUUAAAAAGAAAGUGAGUUUCUAGCCUUUGUGGUUACAUAAAAAGUGUGAUCUAAGUUCACCCGUAAGCCUCAUAAACCAGGAAGUAAAUGAAAGGAAUUCCAAAUGUAUUAUUAUUUGUAAAAUCAUGCCAAUUGCCAGUUGUCAGUUGCAUGAUUUUGCGUGCCCGACUCAGGAUUUUUGAAUGUUUGAGGUUGGCUGUAAGGAGUCUUGGUUUGGUCAGCAGAAAAAAAAUUCCAUAUUGAAUUAAAUAUUCUGUUAGGAUCUACACUGGUGGUAUAAGCCAUGUAACCGACACAGAGCUAUAUUAUCUUCAGUUAUGCCCAAACUGGACUCUCCCACUAUGCAAAUAAUGCUAGGUUUAUGGGUAUUGUCUAGUGGGUGUGUAGUGAGAGCAGCACUGGGCGAUUGCAAGAUGCUGGUUUUCUGCUGUUAAACAGGGAAAGUGAUCUCAGUUGUCUUUUAGCCUAUCUGGAGAUGUUUAGGACAAGAAAAAGAAAAAGAACGAAAGAAAGAGAAAAACACCCAGCUUGGAGGCUUUGAGACAAAUAUCAUAAUGCUGAAACUGGCGAAGUCAGAUUCCUUGCAGAUAACUCAAAGGUGCAGUAGCUUCCAGCACACCUCAGCUUCUAGGCUGAGAAACGACAGCUCUGUGGUGUGUAGGGAAGGUUAGGAAAGCCAGUCCUUUCCAAUGUGCACUUUCAGUAACACAUGAACGGUCACUAAGCACGCUAUUAAUGAGGGAUGCACUUCAUAGUCUUCAGUAUUGCCAGCCUCAAGUAUUCAAAUAUCACAAACCUGAGACCACUAAAUAUUGUGAGAUUAGCUUAAAAUAAUGAGGUUUUUUUUAAUUGGGUUCUUUUUAUUUACCUGGUGCCUUUUGAGCCUUCGGUGUGCAUUUGCUUUCUGUUUCUUUGUUCCGUUUGUACGGCACCUAGCACAACAGGGUCUUGGCCUGUGUGUGUGGCUCCUAGGCGCUAUGAUAAUACAAAUAAUAGUAAUCAUCAUCUUCAGUCUUAGCUCUGCAGUCAUGUUGGCUAGAAAUUGGCUUUUUAUUAUUUUUUAAAUUGAAAGCCAAGGUUGUCAGGCAAGAGGAUGAUUCCAGUAGCUGGGGCUUUUAGAAAAACAUGAAACACUGCGAGACUCACCAUAAAAUCGUGAGGGAUGGCAACACUGAGUCUUUACGCUCCCUUUAUUGCUUGUAGAGUUCAGGUGAGUUUCAAGAUCAUCUGCUUUACUCACAUGUAGAGUAUUACACGGGAAUGGAUAGUGCAUAGCCUCUGACAUCCUGGGCAUCUGCGCCUCCCUGUCAUUGGAGCUGCAAGUAUUCCACACCCUUAUCUCAGGUUUGGGGGAGGAAAAUUCAUUGUCCCUUGCAAAUCCUGCAAGGUUGAUAAGACUAUAACUGGGGAGACCAUAUUCUGUGCAAAAUGCACACAGCACCAGUGCUUAUACCAUCCAGCCUACAGAGGGGGAGUUCAGAUCUCCCAAGGGAAGCAGAAAUGUUACAUUACAAUUAUAACUGGGGAGUGUAAAUAAAAUGUAAUAUGACAACUAAGGAGCUGUUGUUCUGUGGCGUUACUAUAUAAUCACUGGUUCUGGCAUCCUUAGCAACGCUUCAGUCCGUAAAUGCACCGUUUUCAAAUUGCUAGCUACACCUCUGCAGGGAAGGGAAGUUAGGGGAGUAUCCUUAUUUUUGUUCCCUCCCAGCUCCAUUUGCAGUGGCCCACUUUUGGUAAAUAAAUAAUGCUCCAAGAUACUAAAAAAAACGAACCAAGCCCCAACCCCCAACCCAAGCAGGCUUUCCUGAAGUGAGCCAGACCUGGGGGAGCCCAGGUUAAUUUGACAAUAUUUUUCAGAAAAGAGCCUAAGCCUAUGUUACUUGGCAAGGGAUUGAUGGUUUUUUUUGGCCUUUGAAUUUCCUC